rnacentral:rRNA from 1 species
UGCGUAGGUGGUAUGGCAAGUCAGAAGUGAAAACCCAGGGCUUAACUCUGGGACUGCUUUUGAAACUGUCAGACUAGAGUGCAGGAGAGGUAAGCGGAAUUCCUAGUGUAGCGGUGAAAUGCGUAGAUAUUAGGAGGAACAUCAGUGGCGAAGGCGGCUUACUGGACGGUAACUGACGUUGAGGCUCGAAAGCGUGGGGAGCAAACA